rnacentral:misc_RNA from 1 species
GAAAUGCGAUACGCAAUGCGAAUUGCAGAAUUCCGCGAGUCAUCAGAUCUUUGAACGCAGCCGGCGCUGGCGGGAUAUCCCACCAGCAUGUUUGUUUCAGUGUGUUUGGUUGACUUCACACAACUCAAUGCGAUUGAGGCCUUUUUAAUUAAGGGUCUCUCUCGUGAAAGAGGAGUACUUGCGGCUGAGCCCGCCAACGAAGUGGUCACUGUUCACCAGUGAUUUCGUUGGAAUCACAGGUUCAGCCUUUAACAUGCGAGUUCUUUUUUAACCACAAAUCUUCAAUCAGCACCUGAAAUCAAGCAAGAUCACCCGCUGAACUUAA